AUGGAUUUCAACACUUCUCAGGAUGGAUAUUGUUGUUGGUGGUUAUUUGUUAGGAUCAUUGGAUAUAUUCCCUAAUCUGUUUGUAGAAGCUUCACUUUCUAGAGGAUAUGUUCUGGAAAUUGCUAGAUAGAUUUCUGACAUCAUUUUUGUGUAGAAUGUGAUCAUUUGGCUGCAAUCACGAAAGGGAUUGAAUCACCAAAAUAAUUGUGGUUGAAUGGUUUCUGACAUUUAAUUUCAGUUUGUCUAUUAUGAAGGUGGAAAACUUUUAUGCUUGUUCAGAUUCUAAGAAGACAAAGAAAUUCAGCAACCAAGUGAAGCAUUUUUGAAUUCAAAAACAUUGGAAGGGGGAAUGGGUUUUGAGCAUUAGUAAGACUGGUGGAACUGAUGCAGUUGCAAAAUUUGUAGCCCACAUCCCCUCUCAAUCAGUUGAGGUAGACACCAGUGAAGGCAGAUGCAACCAGCGCAACUCGGAUAAUAACACAUGAAUGGGGAGUAGCUAAGCUCAUGCAAUUUCCCCAACCCAGAGCUCAUCACUCAAAUUAUAUGUUUCCUUGGCAUUGUAUUUCCAAUUUUGCACGUCUGUCCCGUUUUGCAGUGGGAUUUUGGGGCAUGGUAAGAGAAUGUUGAAAUGGAUUGGGGAGAAUAUAAAUGUGUGUGUAAUACACACACAUUUCUAGUGAUUGAGGAGAAGAUGAGUCAUUGGUCCUGAUGAAGCUCUCAUCACAUUGAAAUGUCCACACGGUAGCUAAAAUUUGAUUUAGUUUUAAUCAUCAGUGGUAGAGUUGGAAAUUUAACUUGGUGAGAGUAAUGUUGAACAAUGACAAGACAAUUUUUCUUUUUAUUAAAAUAAUAAAUGAAAAAACGUAAAUAUCUCCUUAUACUAUUUUUAUUUAUUUAUGAUCAUUCUCAAUCAAUUUUCAUAUUUUAAACUUCGCAUAAUAAUUUUUUUUGAUAAUUAGAUAAUCUCGGUAAUAUAUUGUUACAUGUAGAAAGAUUGCAUGUGUCUAAUAGUAAAUUAUGAGGUGUUUUAUGCUCGUCGAUGAAAAAAAUGUGUAAAAAAUAUGUAAUAAAUUACUUGGGAGUGUGAAUACCAUCUCCAUAUUUCAAUUCCUUUAAUGACAAAAAAAAAAAAUGCAUUUUGACCAAUAUAUAUAUAUAUG